UAAGCAUAUCAAUAAGCGGAGGAAAAGAAACCAACAGGGAUUGCCUUAGUAACGGCGAGUGAAGCGGCAAUAGCUCAAAUUUGAAAGCUGGCCCCUUCGGGGUCCGCGUUGUAAUUUGUAGAGGAUGAUUCGGCGAGGGCUCCCGUCUAAGUCCCUUGGAACAGGGCGUCAUAGAGGGUGAGAAUCCCGUAUGUGAUGGGCUGCCUUAGCCAUGUGAAUCUCCUUCGACGAGUCGAGUUGUUUGGGAAUGCAGCUCUAAAUGGGAGGUAAAUUUCUUCUAAAGCUAAAUACCGGCCAGAGACCGAUAGCGCACAAGUAGAGUGAUCGAAAGAUGAAAAGCACUUUGGAAAGAGAGUUAAAAAGUACGUGAAAUUGUUGAAAGGGAAGCGCUUGCAGCCAGACUUGUCCGCAGUUGCUCAGCUUGUCUCCUGACAGGCGUACUCUUCUGCGGCCAGGCCAGCAUCAGUUCGGGCGGUCGGAUAAAGGCCCGGGGAAUGUAGCUCCUCUCGGGGAGUGUUAUAGCCCCGGGUGCAAUGCGGCCAGCCUGGACUGAGGAUCUCGCUUCGGCUAGGAUGCUGGCGUAAUGGCUGUAAGCGGCCCGUCUUGAAACACGGACCAAGGAGUCUAACAUCUAUGCGAGUGUUUGGGUGUCAAACCCAUGCGCGUAAUGAAAGUGAACGGAGGUGGGAACCCUCACGGGUGCACCAUCGACCGAUCCUGAUGUCUUCGGAUGGAUUUGAGUAAGAGCAUAGCUGUUGGGACCCGAAAGAUGGUGAACUAUGCCUGAAUAGGGUGAAGCCAGAGGAAACUCUGGUGGAGGCUCGCAGCGGUUCUGACGUGCAAAUCGAUCGUCAAAUUUGGGUAUAGGGGCGAAAGACUAAUCGAACCAUCUAGUAGCUGGUUCCUGCCGAAGU
rnacentral:rRNA from 1 species